rnacentral:tRNA from 1 species
GCCCUCGUAGUUCAAUGGACAGAACGGUCGCCUCCUAAGUGACAAAUGAUGGUUCGAAUCCGUCCGGGGGCA